rnacentral:rRNA from 1 species
UAAGGUGGUUAUUGCGGCGGGGCUCACCUCUUCCCAUUCCGAACAGAGAAGUUAAGCCCGCCUGCGCAGAUGGUACUGCAAUUUGUGGGAGUAUGUCGCCGCCUUUC